AUAUUUUACAAUGGGCGAAAGCCUGAUCCAGCCAUGCCGCGUGUGUGAAGAAGGUCUACGGAUUGUAAAGCACUUUAAGUUGGGAGGAAGGGCAGUAAGUUAAUACCUUGCUGUUUUGACGUUACCGACAGAAUAAGCACCGGCUAACUUCGUGCCAGCAGCCGCGGUAAUACGAAGGGUGCAAGCGUUAAUCGGAAGUACUGGGCGUAAAGCGCCUGUAGGUGGGUUGUUAAGUUGGAAGUGAAAGCCCCGGGCUCAAACUGGGAACUGCUUUCAUAACUGCUGAGCUAGAGUACGGUAGAGGGUGGUGGAAUUUCCUGUGUAGCGGUGAAAUGCGUAGAUAUAGGAAGGAACACCAGUGGCGAAGGCGACCACCUGGGCUAAUACUGACACUGAGGUGCGAAAGCGUGGGGAGCAAAC
rnacentral:rRNA from 1 species